rnacentral:misc_RNA from 1 species
UCGAAGUUUUACAUAGGAAUAUAUAGAGUAAAUCUUUAAAAAUCUUCCUUUCAGAAACUAAUCAGCCAGGAAAGCUGAAACUUGUGUGGAAGCAUCCUCAGGUAGUGUAGAUUCAAAGUUGUGAAAAUCAUGACCCCCGGGGGUAGGGAUGGGCCACAAUGGGGGGUCGAAUUUUAACAUAGGAAUAUAUAAAGUAAAUCUUUAAAAAUCUUCCUUUCAGAAACUAAUCAGCCAGGAAAGCUGAAACUUGUGUGGAAGCAUCCUCAGUUAGUAUGAAUUCAUAGUUGUGAAAAUCAUGAUCCCCAGGGGUAGGGUGGGGCCACAAUGGGGGGGUCAAAGUUUAACAAAGGAAUAUAUAUGGUAAAUCUUUAAAAAUCUUCUUCUCAGAAACUAAUCAGCCAGAUGAUUCUUUAUAAUUGUUAAGACUUUGGCCCCAGGACAAUUCUUUGGCCUCACAAGAAGGUUCAGAGUUAAUGUACGUUUAUAUCCCAUAUAUAAACAAUUGUUAAGGAUCUUUUUGAGAACUGCAAUACUCAACAUAUGAUAUGACUAUAAAAUCGUCCUGUUAGAAAAGGGACUAAUGAUUAUAAACAUAAGAAUAUCCAGGGGAAAAUGGAUUUUAUUUAUACAGGAUCAACAUGUAUUAUUGUACAUUGUCCAGAUAGUUUGUAUUAUGACUCCAUUAAGCUGAUUUUAUCAUACCUAUUGUUCCUCAGGUGAGCGAUGUGGCCCAUGGGCCUCUUGUUGUGAUUGCACACCAUAAAGAUUUAUUGGGUUUGGUUACCGGUAUGUGAAUGAAUAUGAAUGAGAGUGAACCAGAAGUGUUGUAACCACAUGCAUUUCUAGAUAUUUUGUUUAUACCAUGCCACUUUUCCUUCAUGACACAGGAUCUGGAUCCGCGCAUGGUUUGCUGGAAAGGAGCAGCCAUAUUGGCUUGCUUGGACACCACCCAGGAGAUGUGGAUUACACAGAGAGAGUGGAAGCAAUUCAGUGUCCGCAUGCUGAGGGAGAGGGCACCGUUCAUGUGGUGAAAGAGAAGGGCGGCAACCUUUCUAAAACAGUGUCACAAAUCAAGAGAUGUAGCUUUCUUUCUGCUAUCUAUACACCACGAAGGAAGAAUAUUGCAUUGAUUGAUUGACAAUGAAAAAUGACUAAUGUUCAGGGAAGGAAGACUUUGUAAUGUGUUCACUAGUGAAAUGUAUAUCACACCAUGUGGUAAAAACCUAUUGGAGCCGACUAGUGGUAAACUAAAUAGUUCUCAAAGUUAGGAGGACACAAAAGUAUCCAUGGAAGAUCAUGAAUUCUUUUUAUUUGAUAAAUUUCCAAGUGCAGUGCACAACAUGGAUUUAUGACUGCAGCCUGUACAUAGAAACAGUUUGUUUGAUUGUCAUGUACAUGUAGAUGAUGGAUUCUGAGAGGAAUGCAUUUGUACCAUGUCUUGAGUUGUAAUUCUAGUAAUUCUUAGUUAUCUCUUUGUAAUUGCAAACUUGUUAUACAACUGAUUACUAUUAUAUAUGUUUAAAUAA